rnacentral:tRNA from 1 species
UGGCUGAGCGGUAAAGCGCUUGGCUUCCCAACUAGAGGGACCAGGUUCAAAUCCUGG